UACGGAGGAGGCAAGCGUUAUCCGGAAUUAUUGGGCGUAAAGCGUCCGUAGGUGGUUGGCCAAGUCUGCCGUCAAAGGGUGGGGGUUAACCUCAUAAAGGCAGUGGAAACUGGCGAGCUAGAGUGCGGUAGGGGUAGGGGGAAUUCCCAGUGUAGCGGUGACAUGCGUAGAGAUUGGGAAGAACAUCGGUGGCGAAAGCGCCCUGCUGGGCCUGCACUGACACUGAGGGACGAAAGCUAGGGGAGCGAAAGGG
rnacentral:rRNA from 1 species